rnacentral:rRNA from 1 species
UACGUAGGGAGCGAGCGUUGUCCGGAUUUAUUGGGCGUAAAGAGCUCGUAGGCGGCCUGUCGCGUCGACCGUGAAAACCCGCAGCUCAACUGCGGGCUUGCGGUCGAUACGGGCAGGCUGGAGUUCGGUAGGGGAGACUGGAAUUCCUGGUGUAGCGGUGAAAUGCGCAGAUAUCAGGAGGAACACCGGUGGCGAAGGCGGGUCUCUGGGCCGAUACUGACGCUGAGGAGCGAAAGCGUGGGGAGCGAACAGG